rnacentral:miRNA from 1 species
CAGCCUCGCUGGCAGGCAGCU